rnacentral:rRNA from 1 species
GACGAACGCUGGCGGCGUGCUUAACACAUGCAAGUCGAACGAUGAAGCCGGAGCUUGCUCCGGUGGAUUAGUGGCGAACGGGUGAGUAACACGUGAGCAAUCUGCCCUUGACUCUGGGAUAACUGCGGGAAACUGUAGCUAAUACCGGAUACGACACCUUGGGGCAUCCCAGGGUGUGGAAAGAAUUUCGGUCAAGGAUGAGCUCGCGGCCUAUCAGCUAGUUGGUGAGGUAAUGGCUCACCAAGGCGACGACGGGUAGCCGGCCUGAGAGGGUGACCGGCCACACUGGAACUGAGACACGGUCCAGACUCCUACGGGAGGCAGCAGUGGGGAAUAUUGCACAAUGGGCGAAAGCCUGAUGCAGCAACGCCGCGUGAGGGAUGAAGGCCUUCGGGUUGUAAACCUCUUUUAGCAGGGAAGAAGCGAAAGUGACGGUACCUGCAGAAAAAGCACCGGCUAACUACGUGCCAGCCGCCGCCGCGG